rnacentral:rRNA from 1 species
UGGGGAAUAUUGCACAAUGGGCGCAAGCCUGAUGCAGCCAUGCCGCGUGUGUGAAGAAGGCCUUCGGGUUGUAAAGCACUUUCAGCGGGGAGGAAGGCGAUAAGGUUAAUAACCUCAUCGAUUGACGUUACCCGCAGAAGAAGCACCGGCUAACUCCGUGCCAGCAGCCGCGGUAAUACGGAGGGUGCAAGCGUUGUCCGGAUUUAUUGGGCGUAAAGCGAGCGCAGGCGGUUUCUUAAGUCUGAUGUGAAAGCCCCCGGCUCAACCGGGGAGGGUCAUUGGAAACUGGGAGACUUGAGUGCAGAAGAGGAGAGUGGAAUUCCAUGUGUAGCGGUGAAAUGCGUAGAUAUAUGGAGGAACACCAGUGGCGAAGGCGGCUCUCUGGUCUGUAACUGACGCUGAGGCUCGAAAGCGUGGGGAGCAAACAGG